rnacentral:tRNA from 1 species
GGGGCUGUAGCUUAGUGGCAGAGCACUUGCCUAGCAUGCAUGAGGCACUAGGUUCAAUCCUCAGCACCA